rnacentral:rRNA from 1 species
CCUACGGGAGGCAGCAGUGGGGCAUAUUGCACAAUGGGGGAAACCCUGAUGCCGCGACGCCGCGUGAGUGAAGAAGUAUUUCGGUAUGUAAAGCUCUAUCCGCAGGGAAGAAAAUGACGGUACCUGAUUAAGAAGCCCCGGCUAACUACGUGCCAGCAGCCGCGGUAAUACGUAGGGGGCAAGAGUUAUCCGGAUGUACUGGGUGUAAAGGGAGCGUAGAAGGCAGCACAAGUCUGGAGGGAAAUGCCGGGGCUUAACCCCGGAACUGCUUUGGAAACUGUGCAGCUAGAGGGCAGGAGCGGUAAGUGGAAUUCCUAGUGUAGCGGUGAAAUGCGUAGAUAUUAGGAGGAACACCAGUGGCGAAGGCGGCUUACUGGACUGUAACUGACGUUGAGGCUCGAAAGCGUGGGGAGCAAACAGGAUUAGAUACCCGGGUAGUC